UGGGGAAUAUUGCGCAAUGGGCGAAAGCCUGACGCAGCGACGCCGCGUGAGUGAAGAAGUCUUUCGGGAUGUAAAACUCUGUCACGAGGAACGAUAAUGACGGUACCUCGAGAGGAAGCCCCGGCAAACUACGUGCCAGCAGCCGCGGUAAUACGUAGGGGGCUAGCGUUGUCCGGAUUUACUGGGCAUAAAGGGCGCGUAGGUUGUAUUUUAAGUCAGGUGUUAAAUCCCUCAGCUCAACUGAGGUUCGCACUUGAUACUGAAAUACUAGAGUACAGGAGAGGAAAGCGGAACCCACGGUGUAGCGGUGAAAUGCGUAGAUAUCAUGGGGAACACCAGUUGCGAAAGCGGCUUUCUGGACUGUUACUGACACUGAGGCGCGAAAGCGUGGGGAGCAAACAGGAUUAGAUACCCGGGUAGUCC
rnacentral:rRNA from 1 species